ACACACACACACACACACACACAGGAGGAGGAGAAAUCAGAGGAGGAGGCCUCCUUUGUGUGAAUUUGAUCGGGAUGAGACGACUGAAGCUUCCUUUAAUUUCACUAAGAGGGAGGAGGACGAGGAGGACGGGGAGGACGGGGAGGCAGACGCUGAGCAGGAGCUCAUGAAAUAUGGAUGAGACGGACGAGGUGUUUUCUUUCUGUUUAAAGCAGCGAUGG